GACGAACGCUGGCGGCGUGCUUAACACAUGCAAGUCGAACGGAAAGGCCCUGAUUUUGUGGGGUUCCCGAGUGGCGAACGGGUGAGUAACAGGUGAGUAACCUGCUCUUGACUUUGGGAUAACUUCAGGAAACUGGGGUUAAUACCGGAUCGGAUACCCCGCAGCUUGGUGGGGGUUGGAACGUUUCGGUGGUUGGGGCUGGAGUCGCGGGUUAUGAGCUUGUUGGUGGGGUAGUGGAGUACCAAGGCUUUGACGGGUAGCCGGCCUGGGAGGGUGACCGGCCACAUGGGGACUGAGGUACGGCCCAGACGCCUACGGGGGGCAGCAGUGGGAAAUAUUGCACAAUGGGCGGAAGCCGGAUGCAGCGACGCCGCGUGCGGGAUGACGGCCUUCGGGGUGUAAACCGCUUUCGCCUGUGACGAAGCGUGAGUGACGGUAAUGAGUAAAGAAGCACCGGCUAACUACGUG
rnacentral:rRNA from 1 species